rnacentral:rRNA from 1 species
CUCCGACCUCAGAUCAGACGGGAGUACCCGCUGAACUUAAGCAUAUCAGUAAGCGGAGAAAAG